UACGGAGGGGGCUAGCGUUGUUCGGAAUUACUGGGCGUAAAGCGCACGUAGGCGGCUUUGUAAGUUAGAGGUGAAAGCCCGGGGCUCAACUCCGGAAUUGCCUUUAAGACUGCAUCGCUAGAAUUUGUGGAGAGGUAAGUGGAAUUCCGAGUGUAGAGGUGAAAUUCGUAGAUAUUCGGAAGAACACCAGUGGCGAAGGCGACUUACUGGACACAUAUUGACGCUGAGGUGCGAAAGCGUGGGGAGCAAACAGG
rnacentral:rRNA from 1 species